rnacentral:rRNA from 1 species
UACGUAGGGUGCAAGCGUUAAUCGGAAUUACUGGGCGUAAAGCGUGCGCAGGCGGUUUUGUAAGUCUGACGUGAAAUCCCCGGGCUCAACCUGGGAAUUGCGUUGGAGACUGCAAGGCUAGAAUCUGGCAGAGGGGGGUAGAAUUCCACGUGUAGCAGUGACAUGCGUAGAGAUGUGGAGGAACACCGAUGGCGAAGGCAGCCCCCUGGGUCAAGAUUGACGCUCAUGCACGAAAGCGUGGGGAGCAAACAGG